GACGAACGCUGGCGGCGUGCUUAACACAUGCAAGUCGAACGGAAAGGCCCUGCUUUUGUGGGGUGCUCGAGUGGCGAACGGGUGAGUAACACGUGAGUAACCUGCCCUUGACUUUGGGAUAACUUCAGGAAACUGGGGCUAAUACCGGAUAGGAGCUCCUGCUGCAUGGUGGGGGUUGGAAAGUUUCGGCGGUUGGGGCUGGACUCGCGGCUUAUCCGCUUGUUGGUGGGGUAGUGGCUUACCAAGGCUUUGACGGGUAGCCGGCCUGGGAGGGUUAACGGCCACAUGGGGACUGAGAGACGGCCCAGACUCCUACGGGAGGCAACAGGGGGGAAUAUUGCACAAUGGGCGGAAGCCUGAUGCAGCAACGCCGCGUGCGGGAUGACGGCCUUCGGGUUGUAAACCGCUUUCGCCUGUGACGAAGCGUGAGUGACGGUAAUGGGUAAAGAAGCACCGGCUAACUACGUG
rnacentral:rRNA from 1 species